GGAUAGCUUAGUUGGUCAGAGCAUGGUGCUGAUGAUGCCAAGGUUGAAGGUUUGAUCCCUAUAAGGGAUGGCUGCA